rnacentral:rRNA from 1 species
GAUGAACGCUGACAGAAUGCUUAACACAUGCAAGUCUACUUGAACUUCGGUUUGGGUGGCGGACGGGUGAGUAACGCGUAAAGAACUUGCCUCACAGUUAGGGACAACAUUUGGAAACGAAUGCUAAUACCUGAUAUUAUGAUUUUAGGGCAUCCUAGGAUUAUGAAAGCUAUAUGUGCUGUGAGAGAGCUUUGCGUCACAUUAGCUAGUUGGAGAGGUAACGGCUCACCAAGGCGAUGAUGGGUAGCCGGCCUGAGAGGGUGAACGGCCACAAGGGGACUGAGACACGGCCCUUACUCCUACGGGAGGCAGCAGUGGGGAAUAUUGGACAAUGGACCAAAAGUCUGAUCCAGCAAUUCUGUGUGCACGAUGACGUUUUUCGGAAUGUAAAGUGCUUUCAGUUGGGAAGAAAAAAAUGACGGUACCAACAGAAGAAGUGACGGCUAAAUACGUG